GAAAUGCGAUAAGUAAUGUGAAUUGCAGAAUUCAGUGAAUCAUCGAAUCUUUGAACGCACCUUGCGCUCCCUGCAGAUCUAAUCUGGGGAGCAUGCCUGUUUGAGGGCCGCGAAUUGUUUCGAGCGCCAGCUUUUUUAAUUAAGAGAUGGUAGCUUGGUAGUGAGGGUUUUGCCAUUUACCGUGGCUCCCUCGAAAUGCAUUAGUGCAUCCAUUUAAUAGGCAAAGACGGACGAAAGCUCAUUUUUUUUUCGCUCCCCUCUUCCCUGCCGGGUUUUGAUAAUAUCAGGACUUCGGAGGUGAAAGGAGGGAGCAAGAGCUGGACGCAACGUCGUUGCUGGUUGGAGUGCUUCUGAACACCACCUUUUUCGAAAGAAAAGGAAUUAAAUUCAAAUCGGCCUCAGAUUGGUAGGACUACCCGCUGAACUUAAGC
rnacentral:misc_RNA from 1 species